AGCGAACGCUGGCGGCAGGCCUAACACAUGCAAGUCGAACGAAGUCUUCGGACUUAGUGGCGGACGGGUGAGUAACACGUGGGAACGUGCCUUUAGGUUCGGAAUAACUCAGGGAAACUUGUGCUAAUACCGAAUGUGCCCUUCGGGGGAAAGAUUUAUCGCCUUUAGAGCGGCCCGCGUCUGAUUAGCUAGUUGGUGGGGUAAUGGCCCACCAAGGCUACGAUCAGUAGCUGGUCUGAGAGGAUGACCAGCCACAUUGGGACUGAGACACGGCCCAACUCCUACGGGAGGCAGCAGUGGGGAAUCUUGCGCAAUGGGCGAAAGCCUGACGCAGCCAUGCCGCGUGGAUGAUGAAGGUCUUAGGAUUGUAAAAUCCUUUCACCGGUGAAGAUAAUGACUGUAGCCGGAGAAGAAGCCCCGGCUAACUUCGUGCCAGCAGCCGCAGUAA
rnacentral:rRNA from 1 species